UCUUCUUCUUCUUCUUUUUGAAAAGGGGGUUUUGAAAGGCGAGGCAGGGGUCAUGAAAGAAAGUACCAAAAGUUUUUCUUUUUUUUAGUUGUUGUCGACUGAAAUCAGCGAGAGGGGGUUUUUGGAAGAGACGUGGUUCGGUCCGGUCCUGAUUUGUUAGAGGUGGAAGGGAGCACUGGUGCGAAGGUGGAGCACAGGUCCGGUCCGCUGGCGGGGGCGGAAGAGAGUAGGGUGUGCGCGGAAGGUUCAAGAGAUGGGUUUUGAAACCGAUUGGGUUUACGAGAACGGAAGAAGGUCGCCGGAACGGGUUUUAGAGGGGUGUUGAAAGGGCCAGCAGGAGGUCUGGGAGAUGGUGAAUCGUCGAAUCGGCAAAGAUGGGUUUUGUUGGUGAUUGGGUUCGCCGGAAUGGAGGAAGGUCAUCGGAAUUAAUGCUACUCAUCGGGGCUCUGAUACGAUGAAGAUUUUUCAGAAACUGAGAGAGGGGCUUCCACACAAAAUCAAUAUUAAAGAGAAAUUCUUCGCUAUUCUCAUAGCACUAAGGUAUAAUGUUAUUGCAUAUGUUUACGUGGACAGUCCAAUCGAUUAAUCUGAACCGUUUAUUAACUCCAAAAAAUUUCAUGGACUAUAAUGCAAAAAAAAAAGAAAAAAGAGAGAGAGUACUGAUCAGAUGAUCCAAGUCAAAUGGUUGAUGAUCGGACUAUUUUGCAUAAACAAUCUUGACCGUCCAUAUUAAAGGCCAUUGAUCAAAUGGUUAGUACUUGUCGAAUUGAUGAGACGUUUGCAUCAUAUCUCAUAAAAUGCAGGUUGGAUCUAAUGAACGAUCUGGAUCAGUGCAUUGAAUUGUAAAAGUGUACCAACGUAACUAGGAGCACUAGAACUUUAGUGCUCUAAGAACAAUGGAGCAUUUUUCUAUGUUAAAAACAUAUUAUAUAUUCAUAAGAA